rnacentral:rRNA from 1 species
GAACGUUGGCGGCGUGCUUAAUACAUGCAAGUCAACUGAAGCACCGGUAGUAAUACUGGUGUGGAGGUGGCGCACGGGUGAGUAACACGUAGGUAAUCUGCCUUCAGGUCUGACAUAACCCCGAGAAAUCGGGGCUAAUAGCAGAUGAUGCAGCGGCUUGACAUCAAGACAGUUGUUAAAGCUUCGGCGCCUGAAGAUGAGCCUGCGUCUGAUUAGCUAGUUGGCGGAGUAAUAGCCCACCAAGGCGACGAUCAGUAGCUGGUCUGAGAGGAUGAUCAGCCACACUGGAACUGAGACACGGUCCAGACUCCUACGGGAGGCAGCAGUAAGGAAUAUUGCUCAAUGGGAGAAAUCCUGAAGCAGCAACGCCGCGUGAGGGAUGAAGGGCUUUUGCUCGUAAACCUCUGUAGUGAGGGAAAAAAUUUCCAUUCUAUGGAAUAUGAUGGUACCUCAAAAGUAAGCCCCGGUUAACUACGUG